rnacentral:lncRNA from 1 species
ACGGGGUACGGUGGGUUCGCCCCGAACAAAAGAGAUGCUGAUCUCCCGCCAGAAUGACGUAACUCCCCAAGGCUUUGCAAAGGAGUCCACUUCAUCUAGUAAAACGGAAAGAACUUCUGUGCAACUGGACCACUUCACCAGGCUGUCUCUACUUCCCAAGACUGGCAGCAUGUGGCUUGUUUCUGUCAGCUGAUGCCAUGUUCUGCAAGAUUCCUGAGACUUCAUCAAUAAACACAGCCAGCUUGUCUGCCUAUUUUCUUCUUGCAGUCAAGCUUUGAGUAAAAUAAUGCAAAUGUUGAAGACCCUAAUGAUUAAAACCACUUCAGUUUAGGAGAGCAAUACAAAGUGAACACAGUGUGGAAUUUUGGCAUUUUGAGACAUCGUCCUCACUUUGUUGUAUUCCUCUGGCGGUCACCAUCAGUGCACGGCGCCCAGCUCUUAACAUCUUGUUGCACGGAAUGGUUGCUUCAUGUGAGGGAACAAUUUGUUCCCUCUCCCAUGUGAGCAGUUACCAAGGGGGCUCCUGUGUUACCAGCAGUUUAAAUUUACUAGUCAACAACUGGGAAAAAAAAAUAUCCUUUUUGGCACCAUACUUCGGCUAUAAUUUGGGAUUGUAUUAUGUAUUUUUUUUUAAUUUAGCAUUUAUUGUGUGUAUCCGUAUCUGUGUGGGAGCAUGAACGCCAUGGCACACCUAUGGAGAUCAGAGGACAAGCCUUAAGAAUUACUUCUUUCCUACAAAGUGGGUCCCAGGAUUAGAUUCAGGUUGUAAGGUCUAACUAACUACAGGCACAUGUUUACCCAUUGAUCUCUUUUGACAACCCAUGGAUUCUACAUUUUCAGAAAGUCUAUUUUGUGGUCCUUUCAUUUGGAGUCCAGUAAAAUGUGUUACUUUCGGCAGUUUUUCAGUACAUAAAGUUAUUUUAAUAUUCUCUGUUUUGCUUAUCCAGUAUUACAUCAUUUUCUAUCAGCCCACUGUUUGAAAACAAAUUCUAUUUCUCUUGAGGCAUGAUGUCAAAGAUUGAAAUUGGAAAAAAAGCUUAGUUGAAAGCCAAUGAGGGAAAAGACACUACAGGAAAUAAAUACUAUAACCAUGGCUUGGUAAUUUAAUUUAAUUUAAUUUAAUGAUUAUCAAGCUAAUUGGCAGGUAAUGAUAGUGUCUGUUAUUGUCUAAUGUGAUUAAUAUGUAAAUAAAGUGAUACCAAUU